UAACCUGCUAAAUAGUUACGUGAACUUUUGUUUGCGGUUAACUUCUUAGAGGGACUGUCUGUGUCUAACAGACGGAAGUUUGAGGCAAUAACAGGUCUGUGAUGCCCUUAGAUGUUCUGGGCUGCACGCGCGCUACACUGACGAAGCCAGCGAGUAUAUAACCUUGGCCGAAAGGUCCGGGUAAUCUUGUGAAACUUCGUCGUGCUGGGGAUAGACCAUUGCAAUUAUUGGUCUUCAACGAGGAAUUCCUAGUAAGCGCGAGUCAUCAGCUCGCGUUGAUUACGUCCCUGCCCUUCGUACACACCGCCCGUCGCUACUACCGAUUGAAUGGCUUAGUGAGACCCUCGAAUUGAUUUCUACAGUGGGCAACCACAGUGGUUAUUGAGAAGUUGGU
rnacentral:rRNA from 1 species